CGCGCAAAUUACCCAAUUCUAACAGUUUGAGAGAGGUAGUAACAAGAAAUAACAAUACAAGGCAGUUAAAAUGCUUUGUAAUUGGAAUGAUAGAAAUUUAAACCCUUUUUAAAGUAUCAAUUGGAGGGCAAGUCUGGUGCCAGCAGCCGCGGUAAUUCCAGCUCCAAUAGCGUAUAUUAAAAUUGUUGCAGUUAAAAAGCUCGUAGUUGAAGUUCUGCUAAAAGUAACCGGUCUG
rnacentral:rRNA from 1 species